AGGUCGCCGCAACGGUAAUUCAAUUUAGUACGAGAGGAACCGUUGAUUCAGAUAAUUGGUUUUUGCGGCUGUCUGACCAGGCAGUGCCGCGACGCUACCAUCUGCCGGAUUAUGGCUGAACGCCUCUAAGUCAGAAUCCGUGCCGGAACGCGGCGAUUUCGCCCCGCACGUCGUAGUUGGAUACGAAUAGGCCUUCGGGCCAUGCACCUCAGCAGGCUGGCGACGGCUCCCGGGGAGAAACCCUCGGGAGCUGGCUAGCGGAUUGUAAUGUCACCUCGCGCGGGGAUAGAUCCUCUGCAGACGACUGAAGUGACCAAGCGGGUCGUGUAAGCGGUCAAGUAGCCUUGUUGCUACGAGUCGCUGAGCGUCAGCCCGACCUUGGCUAGAUUU
rnacentral:ncRNA from 1 species